UACGGAGGGUCCAAGCGUUGUCCGGAUUUAUUGGGUUUAAAGGGUACGUAGGCGGGAAUUUAAGUCAGUGGUGAAAGCCUCCAGCUCAACUGGAGAAUUGCCAUUGAAACUGAAUUUCUUGAGUAUGGUUGAGGUGGUUGGAAUAUAACGUGUAGCGGUGAAAUGCUUAGAUAUGUUAUAGAACACCAAUUGCGAAGGCAGAUCACUAAGCCAUUACUGACGCUGAGGUACGAAAGCGUGGGGAGCGAACAGG
rnacentral:rRNA from 1 species